GCUUCUUCCAUCCUCCCUCCAUCCUCCUCUCCCAUCUCCCUCCAUCCUCCUCUCCCUCCAUCCCUCUCCCCCUCCCCGCCGCAUCGCCGACCAUCUCCCCCGACCAUCUCCCCGUUGCUCCCUGCAGGGCUGCUGUGAGUGGAGGCGCCGGAGCGAGCGAACGAGCGAGCGAGCGCCGGGGCCGGGAAUAAACUGCUCUGGGCCUCGUCCGUGUGUCCGGGGCCGGGAAUAAAGCUGCGCCGGCGUGUCCGUGUGUCUGUGCCUGGGGGGGGGACGGGGGGGGACUGCGCCGCUGCCUGCUCUCCCUCCCUCCCUCCCUCCCUCCGGGGCUCCCGCGGCCAACCCCGGGGCCUCUCUCCGUCCCUCUCUCCAUCGUUCUCUCCAUCCUUCUCUCCAUCCUUCUCUCCACUCCACUCUCUCCGUCCCUCUCUCCUCCGUCCCUCUCUCCGUCCCUCUCUCCAUCCUUCGCUCCACUCUCUCCGUCCUUCUCUCUCCUCCGUCCCUCUCUCCAUCCUUCUCUCUGCUCCAGUCUCUCUCCGUCCCUCUCUCCGCUCUGGCUUCCCUCCAUCCUGGUCUCUCUCCAGCGCAGCAUCUUCCCCCGCAUCCUGCUCCACUGCCGCCUGCUCUCCCUCCCUCUGGGGCUCCUUGCAGCCUCCCCUGGGGCCUCCCUCCGUCCCUCUCUCUGUCCCCUUCUCCAUCCCUCUCUCUGCUCAGACUCUCUCCAUCCCGGCCUCUCUCCAGUGGAGCCUCUCCCCUGCAUCCCUCUCCGCUGCCGCCUGGUCUCCCUCCCUCCCAGCCCGGCCUCCCCCCGACAUCCCCCUCGGCCCGUCCCCGGCUGGUCUCCCCACAUCCAGCCCGGGCUCCCCGGUGCCCCCAGCCCCCUCCAUCGAGCCGGAUCUCCCUCGCUCCCGGCCUCAAUCCUGGUCUCCCCUGAUCUGGCCCUCGAUCCUGCGCCCCCUCGGCCCGUCCCCGGGUGGUCUCCCUGCGUCCGGGUCCCCCCACCGCUGCCACGGAGCCCGACCUCCAUCCCGGUCUCCCUCCCUGCUCCCAGCCGGCCUCCGCCUCCUGCGGGCCUGCGCCUCCAUGGUGGUAUCCCCUUCUUCCUCCCUCUUCCCCUUCUCUCUCUUGUACUCCUUCUCCCCCCCUUCUCUCUCUUCUUCCCUCUUUCCCCCUUCUCUCUCUUGUAUUCCCUCUUCCCCUUCUCUCUCUUCCUCCCUCUUUCCCCUUCUCUCUCUCUCUCUCGCUCCCUCUUCCCCUUCUCUCUCUCUCGCUCCCUCUUCCCCUUCUCUCUCUCUCGCUCCCUCUUCCCCUUCUCUCUCUCGCUCCCUCUUUCCCCUUCUCUCUCUCUCUCUCGCUCC
rnacentral:lncRNA from 1 species